rnacentral:rRNA from 1 species
ACACUCCUACGGGAGGCAGCAGUGGGGAAUUUUGGACAAUGGGCGAAAGCCUGAUCCAGCCAUGCCGCGUACAGGAUGAAGGCCUUCGGGUUGUAAACUGCUUUUGUACGGAACGAAACGGCCUUUUCUAAUAAAGAGGGCUAAUGACGGUACCGUAAGAAUAAGCACCGGCUAACUACGUGCCAGCAGCCGCGGUAAUACGUAGGGUGCAAGCGUUAAUCGGAAUUACUGGGCGUAAAGCGUGCGCAGGCGGUUAUGUAAGACAGUUGUGAAAUCCCCGGGCUCAACCUGGGAACUGCAUCUGUGACUGCAUAGCUAGAGUACGGUAGAGGGGGAUGGAAUUCCGCGUGUAGCAGUGAAAUGCGUAGAUAUGCGGAGGAACACCGAUGGCGAAGGCAAUCCCCUGGACCUGUACUGACGCUCAUGCACGAAAGCGUGGGGAGCAAACAGGAUUAGAAACCCCAGUAGUCCCAUGAU